CAGUGACCACAAGUUCAACGGCCGCGGUAUUUUGACCGUGCAAAGGUAGCGCAAUCACUUGUCUUUUAAAUAGAGACCUGUAUGAAUGGCUAAAAGAGGGCUUAACUGUCUCCCCUUUCAAGUCAGUGAAAUUGAUCUACCCGUGCAGAAGCGGGUAUAAUAAUACAAGACGAGAAGACCCUUUGGAGCUUAAGGUACAAAACUCAGCCACGUCAAGCAACUUAAUAAAAAGCAAAAACCUUGUGGAAUAUGAUAUUUUACCUUCGGUUGGGGCGACCACGGAGGAAAGAAAAGCCUCCAAGUGGACUGGGAGAACUUCCUAAAGCCAAGAGAGACAUCUCUAAGCCGCAGAACAUCUGACCAAACAUGAUCCGGCAACAAAGCCGAUCAACGAACCAAGUUACCCU
rnacentral:rRNA from 1 species